UAAGUAGGUAGUGAAAUCGUGUGGCUCAACCAUACUCACAUUAUCCAAACUGCUAAGCUAGAGUAUAUGAGAGGUAGUUGGAAUUCCUUGUGUAGGAGUGGAAUCCGUAGAUAUAAGGAGGAACACCGAUGGCGUAGGCAGACUACUGGCAUAUUACUGACACUAAGGCACGAAAGCGUGGGAGCGAACAGGAUUAGAUACCCUGGUAGUCCACGCCGUAAGCUAUGGAUGCUA
rnacentral:rRNA from 1 species